AGGUUCUCUUACAUUAGGAUGCAGUGGGCUGCUGUGAGUACCCACUGGUCACUGAUGAGGGUCCCUCCACAGACGUGAAACGCUGCAAAAUUAAUAUGCAUGCUGACCUGCCAGGGCCAUGCCCCAGCUGUGGCAUUCUAAC